GGAUGUGAGGGCGAUCUGGCUGCGACAUCUGUCACCCCAUUGAUCGCCAGGGUUGAUUCGGCUGAUCUGGCUGGCUAGGCGGGUGUCCCCUUCCUCCCUCACCGCUCCAUGUGCGUCCCUCCCGAAGCUGCGUGCUCGGUUGAAGAGGACGACCAUCCCCGAUAGAGGAGGACCGGUCUUCGGUCAAGGGUAUACGAGUAGCUGCGCUCCCCUGCUAGAACCUCCAAACAAGCUCUAAAAUCAGUGGGCUGGGAAGGUGGCUCAGUGGUAGAGCACUUGCCUUGCAUGCAUGAGGCCCUGGGUUCCAU
rnacentral:snRNA from 1 species